GACGAACGCUGGCGGCGUGCUUAACACAUGCAAGUCGAGCGGUAAGGCCCUUUCGGGGGUACACGAGCGGCGAACGGGUGAGUAACACGUGGGUGACCUGCCCUCAGCUCUGGGAUAAGCCUGGGAGACUGGGUCUAAUACUGGAUAUGACUCCACGGUGCGUGUCGUGGGGUGGAAAGCCUUGUGCGGCUGAGGAUGGGCCCGCGGCCUAUCAGCUUGUUGGG
rnacentral:rRNA from 1 species